rnacentral:rRNA from 1 species
UACGAAGGGGGGCUAGCGUUGCUCGGAAUCACUGGGCGUAAAGCGCACGUAGGCGGAUUGUUAAGUCAGGGGUGAAAUCCUGGAGCUCAACUCCAGAACUGCCUUUGAUACUGGGAAUCUCGAGUCCGGGAGAGGUGAGUGGAACUCCGAGUGUAGAGGUGAAAUUCGUAGAUAUUCGGAAGAACACCAGUGGCGAAGGCGGCUCACUGGCCCGGUACUGACGCUGAGGUGCGAAAGCGUGGGGAGCAAACAGG